rnacentral:miRNA from 1 species
AUAUAUUGCGAGGUGCAGAACU